AUACGGAGGAUGCAAGCGUUAUCCGGAUUUAUUGGGGUUAAAGGGUGCGUAGGCGGAGGAGUAAGUCAGGGGUGAAAUGCCGCAGCUCAACUGCGGAACUGCCUUUGAUACUGCUUUUCUGGCGUUCGGAUGCCGUGGGAGGCAUGGGCAGUGUAGCGGUGAAAUGCAUAGAUAUUGCACAGAACACCGAUUGCGAAGGCAUCUCACGAAUCCGAGACUGACGCUGAGGCACGAAAGCGUGGGGAUCAAACAGGAUUAGAUACCCUGGUAGUCCACGCAGUAAACGAUGAUAACUAACCGUCGGCGAUAGAAUGUCGGUGGCCAAGCGAAAGCGAUAAGUUAUCCACCUGGGGAGUACGUUCGCAAGAAUGAAACUCAAAGGAAUUGGCGGGG
rnacentral:rRNA from 1 species